AAACCAACAGGGAUUGCCUUAGUAGCGGCGAGUGAAGCGGCAAUAGCUCAAAUUUGAAAUCUGGUACCUUCGGUACCCGAGUUGUAAUUUGAAGAAGGUAUCUUUGGUUUUGGCUCUUGUCUAUGUUCCUUGGAACAGGACGUCACAGAGGGUGAGAAUCCCGUGCGAUGAGAUGCCCAAUUCCAUGUAAAGUUCCUUCGACGAGUCGAGUUGUUUGGGAAUGCAGCUCUAAGUGGGUGGUAAAUUCCAUCUAAAGCUAAAUAUUGGCGAGAGACCGAUAGCGAACAAGUACUGUGAAGGAAAGAUGAAAAGAACUUUGAAAAGAGAGUGAAAAAGUACGUGAAAUUGUUGAAAGGGAAGGGCUUGAGAUUAGACUUGGAAUUUUUCCAGCGAUGGAAGCUUUCCGGGCCAGCAUCAGUUUGGAUGGCAGGAUAAUAGCGUUGGAAAGUAUUACUUCGGUUUGUUAUAGACUUCGCUGAUACUGCCUAUCUAGACUGAGGACCGCGUCUUUGACUAGGAUGCUGGCGUAAUGAUCUUAAGCCGC
rnacentral:rRNA from 1 species